AAAGACCUCCUGCCUCUUAGCAUCUCCAUGCUAAAGACAAAGAUUCCAACAAGUGAAGAAACCUGGAAGAACAAACUCAAUUCAUUUGCUCACCGCAACAGUGAGUUCUUGGACUAUGUGGCCACGUGUUCCGAACUCAGUACUUGGAUGUUUUAUUGUUCUAACAGUUAAGGAAAAGUGAGCAGUCCCUUUUUCUGGGGACUGGGUUCCUUUCCACGGUUGUUCUAUAGGCAUAACUGAGUUCAGGAAGCAUUUCAUCUGUUGUUAUCUUCAGGAUAACAUUGUGUGGUUCCUUUUUACUGUCAGUGUGACACUAAGGCUAUCUUUGACUGGCUAUCUUAGGGGGGAUGUGGCAGAAGAGUCAGUUUUGGGGAGAAUGGCAGUAUUUCCUGGAAGCAAAUAAAAGGUAUGUAUGUUCCUGCCUUGAUUGUUGGUUUCUACUGCCAACUAUCCUCGUCCCUAAAAAUAAUAGUAGUCUUAGGUUAUUCGAGAGAAUUUUUGAGGUAAAAGAGUGUAGAAGUCAUGUCUGAUUUAGCCAUGUGUCUUCUACUAAUCUCUCCUACUCUGAGCAGAUUGAUCUGGGGGCAUCUGAAAUCGCAACAAUAUAACAGGCAGAGCCCUGUUUUUUAUUCAGGUGGAUUCAACCAUUUUCUGCCUCAUCUUUAGCACUACACACCCUCUCUGGGCCUCUCAUACCCAGCUGCACAAUGGUCAGACAGGACUGAGCUUGAUCGGAACAGGUACGCUUGGCUUGGUUUAUAAAAUAACAUAAAAAGCAUUUGAACUCGUUGCCGUCUUUUAACAUCUGAACAGUCUCUCAAAAACUGCAAGUGUCCAGUUCCUCUGGAUUGUCUCUGGCCCACAUAGCUGCAAGGAGUGAAUUUUAUACUGGUUUCCUGCAAGAAGGAUUAGUUUCAUCUCUCACCUGCUUGAUCCAUGUAGAUACUUGAUAAUGGGAUUCGGAGUGGUUCAAAAAAGAUGGCCUUAAGGAAAAAUAGUUUGGCUAAUGGCUAGCAUCUAUCCAAAAACCUAUAUAAAAGAAAUUACCCCAAAAUUAAUUAUGUAAAAUGUAAAUGAUAUAGACCUUGUGAUCUCACAUUGCUUGUUUUAUGUCUAUCUCUGAACUAAUGUCUACAAUCUUCUAUUUGAAUAUUAAGUUGACCAAAGUUUUCUAUUCAUAUAAUUGGAAACAAAUUAUGUUGACUCAGACAACUAUCUGGUCAUUUUUUUUUUUUAAAAAAAAUCAAGAUAUUGCUUUGUUCUAGAAAAUUAUACUUUCAUGAACCAUAUUUUCAGACAUAUUCACUUGGAACACAAAAGGGUAACAUUUUUUUCACUACUGGAAAUAGAUGUUCAAUGUACCAGGAACAUUGGUCCAAACAUCAUUGUUGGGAUUCAUAGCAGUUCCAGGUGGAACACAGAGAAACACUGAAAACGAAGCAAGUGUGAGACUCAGGAAUAUUGGAUGGCUAUUAGAAUAUUGGUUCACUGCUACUCUCUCAAAAUGAGAAUGUCAGAGGUCUUAUUGAGUUUCCAAGGUCUUCACAUAUAUACAUAUAUUAAAGAUAUAUGUGCAUAUAUUCUGUGAGGCAUAUACUGCAGAUAUAGUGAAAUAUAUCUGUAAAAUAAGAGGUAGAAGGUUGAAAGAAGAUACUAUAUAGCAGUGGUUCUCAACCUUCCUAAUACUGCAACCCUUUAAUACAGACCCUCAUGUUGUGAUGACACCAACCAUACAGUUAUUUUUGUUGCUACAUCAUAUCUUUAAUUUUACUGCUGUUAUAAAAUCAUAAUGUAAAUAUCCGAUAUUCGGCCCCUGAGAAAGAGUUUUUCAACCCCCAAAAGGUAGUGAGCCACAGAUUGAAAACCUCUGAUAUUAAACCAGAUGGUACAGGCCCUUUAAUUCAGAUCUUUGUGAGUUCAAGAACAGCCUACAUUGUGAGCUCGAGUCAGCGCUACAUAGUGAGACCCCAUCUCAGAAGAGAAAAAAAAGAGACUAUACACAAGAUAUGCUAGGAGAUGUGAAAGAUAAUGGAGACUUUCCAGUAAGCACUUUAGGAUAAAGGCAGGAAACGAAUGGAAAUUGUAGCAAGGAAGCCAAACCCAGGAAAUAUGGAGCUAAAACCUCCAAGCAGAGAAUCUGACCAAAACUCAGGGAGCAGGGAUAUGUAGGAGAAGGUGUGCCUGGAGAUUCUGAAGUUCAGAGGAGAAAGUGUUUUGAACAUAAAACUUUGUAAAGACUUGGUCAACACGUUGGUUUGGGAGGAAAGAAAUGACCAUGGUAAACGAGAGAAAUAAUAGAUGCUAAUGAGAGAAUUUUGGCUGUCACCGGUAGAAAGGAAACAAUACUGCAGAGAAAGGGGGCACCAGUGGAAAGCAGCCUGAUGAAAGGGACUGUGGGAGGGGAGGUGAAAAGUGAGGGUCAAGCAGCACAGGUUGUGUAGAUGGGGAUCCCAACU
rnacentral:lncRNA from 1 species